ensembl:snRNA U6 U6 spliceosomal RNA
GUGUUUGCUUUGGCAGCGCAUAUGUUAAAACUAGAACAAUACAGAGAAGAUCGGCAUGGUCUCUGCUCAAGGAUGACACACAAAUUCAUAAAGUGUUCUGUAUUUCU